GAUGAACGCUGGCGGCGUGCCUAAUACAUGCAAGUCGAGCGAACGGACGAGAAGCUUGCUUCUCUGAUGUUAGCGGCGGACGGGUGAGUAACACGUGGAUAACCUACCUAUAAGACUGGGAUAACUUCGGGAAACCGGAGCUAAUACCGGAUGAUAUUUUGAACCGCAUGGUUCAAAAGUGAAAGACGGUCUUGCUGUCACUUAUAGAUGGAUCCGCGCUGCAUUAGCUAGUUGGUAAGGUAACGGCUUACCAAGGCAACGAUGCAUAGCCGACCUGAGAGGGUGAUCGGCCACACUGGAACUGAGACACGGUCCAGACUCCUACGGGAGGCAGCAGUAGGGAAUCUUCCGCAAUGGGCGAAAGCCUGACGGAGCAACGCCGCGUGAGUGAUGAAGGUCUUCGGAUCGUAAAACUCUGUUAUUAGGGAAGAACAUAUGUGCAAGUAACUGUGCACAUCUUGACGGUACCUAAUCAGAAAGCCACGGCUAGCUACGUG
rnacentral:rRNA from 1 species